GAAUGAUCAGCCUUCACGCCCCGCCUUUUUUGUCCCCUAACUUGAGAUGUAUGAAGGCUUUUGGUCUCCCUGGGAGUGGGUGGAGGCAGCCAGGGCUUACCUGUACACUGACUUGAGACC